GACGAACGCUGGCGGCGUGCUUAACACAUGCAAGUCGAACGCUGAAGCUCAGCUUUUGUUGGGUGGAUGAGUGGCGAACGGGUGAGUAACACGUGAGUAACCUGCCCCCUUCUUUGGGAUAACGCCCGGAAACGGGUGCUAAUACUGGAUAUUCACUGGUCUUCGCAUGGGGGUUGGUGGAAAGGGUUGUUCUGGUGGGGGAUGGGCUCGCGGCCUAUCAGCUUGUUGGUGGGGUGAUGGCCUACCAAGGCUUUGACGGGUAGCCGGCCUGAGAGGGUGACCGGUCACAUUGGGACUGAGAUACGGCCCAGACUCCUACGGGAGGCAGCAGUGGGGAAUAUUGCACGAUGGGCGCAAGCCUGAUGCAGCGACGCCGCGUGAGGGAUGGAGGCCUUCGGGUUGUGAACCUCUUUCGCUCAUGGUCAAGCCGCAACAAUGGUUGUGGUGAGGGUAGUGGGUAAAGAAGCGCCGGCUAACUACGUG
rnacentral:rRNA from 1 species